CUCCAGACUCCUACGGGAGGCAGCAGUGGGGAAUAUUGCGCAAUGGGGGAAACCCUGACGCAGCAACGCCGCGUGAGUGAAGAAGGCCUUCGGGUUGUAAAGCUCUUUAAUCAGGGACGAAGAAUGACGGUACCUGAAGAAUAAGCUCCGGCUAACUACGUGCCAGCAGCCGCGGUAAUACGUAGGGAGCAAGCGUUGUCCGGAAUUACUGGGCGUAAAGGGCGCGUAGGUGGGCGCUUAAGUCAGGUGUGAAAACUCCGGGCUCAACCUGGAGACUGCACUUGAAACUGGGUGUCUUGAGGGCAGGAGAGGAAAGUGGAAUUCCUAGUGUAGCGGUGAAAUGCGUAGAUAUUAGGAGGAACACCAGUGGCGAAGGCGACUUUCUGGACUGUACCUGACGCUGAGGCGCGAAAGCGUGGGUAGCGAACGGGAUUAGAUACCCCGGUA
rnacentral:rRNA from 1 species